GUCAGUUCACGAAGCGCAGAGCUGCACGGUGGGACACACUGGAACUUUACACUGAGGGACUCUAAUAUCCACACAAAUAUACAAAACGCACAUUUUUGUGGACAGAACUGGAUAAUCUGUAGCUUCAGUGGUAAAAACAUGAAGUCUCCAAAACUGAAACCUCAAGCAAAGUUCAUCAACGAGGAAGACCUGAACGACGUGCUGUGCGAGUUCGACGCAGUGAUCGAGGACUUCACGUCGCCGGUGGAGAAGCGACACUUCAGGUACGACGAGCACCUGAAGACGGUGAAGAGGAGGAGCAGCGCCAGCGUGAGCGACAGCGGCAUCAGCGACUCAGAGAGUGCCGAGUCGCUCAACAGAAACAGCUUCAGCUUCAGCGACGAGAGACUGAACUCCCCCACCGUGCUCUCCCCCACCACCUCCUCACCUCCUCUUAUGUCACCCAAACCCAAACUGGGCGACACCAAAGAACUGGAAGACUUCAUCGCCGACCUUGACAAGACAUUAGAGAGCAUGUGACACAGAAGCUGGCAGACAUCUUGGAGCGAAGCCAUGAGGGAGGAAGGGAUGUCUGGAAGCCCCCCGAGCAGCUAACAUGCCCCCCAAACUCUGAACCACCCCCUCACCAACAGGAUGCAGCUGGAUGGCAGAAGCAACUGCCAAAGUAGCUCCACGGCGGCAUCAGAGCUCUGCUCACUCCAGACCACACGGCUCCUGGGCUGUACGGGCCGCAGGAAGGGUCAAAAUUAGCUUUUUUCGUAGGAUGGAAACACUCAUGAGGUAAUGGACUCCAUGAAAACGCUGCAAGGUGGUGGAAUAUCACUGGAACAUUCAUCAUCCCAGACCAGCUCACUCCCUCAUCUGAACCUGGAGCUGCAAGAGUAUUUAAAAGAAAAAGGCUUUUUAUAAUAGAAAUAUAUUUGUAAUUUUAUAGAGCUUCUUAUUGUAAAUUUAUCACUCCUGUUUUGUUUUUUUUGGUGAAAUAUAUUUUUGUAUCAUAUGUAAAUAAUAAUUGUUUCAAAUUUUAUUUGCCUCGGUAUGGACUGGACAGUCAGAUUAAGAUUUGACACGACUGGAAUAAAGUUGAUCAAAUGUGAACUUAAUCCGCUCUGAGAAAACUGGAACGCAAAAUGUGUAUUUAAUACAACUAAUGCCUGCCAGAGAUAAUAUUAAAGUAUAAAUAUUGUUCUUUUAGUAA